ACAGAAAAACUCUUCCUUGGUCCUCUGGUCAAUGACUAAAGCUAGUGAGCUUACCUAUUGAUGAGCAAUGAGUUAAGAAAUGUGCUAUAGGGGUACAUACUUUUAUGGAAGAUGAAGAACUACUACCUCAUCUGCAAAUGAUGUCGCUAACAGCCAUGGCCUUUGUAGCAUUCUUAUUACUAUCAUUAUAUUAUUAUACAAUUUUAGUCAAUUUUGCAUUAUUAAACAUACUGUUUUGAUCUGAUAGCAAAAUGC